rnacentral:pre_miRNA from 1 species
GAAUGAGUCACCUGGGGAUCUUAUUCAAAUACAGAUUCUGAUUCAUAGUCAGAGGUGGGGCCUAAGAAUCUGCUUUUCUAACAAGCUCCCAGGUGAUGCCCAU